AAAGAACGCGGUCUAGCUCACCUCGUUUGGAGGUCAGCUGCUCCUGUUGUUUCACCGCGGAGUGCGUGUGGUAUUUGGUUGCAGACGCAGCUCCCUUGUUAGGUUUGCAGAACCGGUUGCAGCUUAUCAGGUUCCAGGGAUAAAGAAGGUGAUACCUCUUCAUUUGGUAUCAUCUUGGAGAGGUCUCAGCACAGGACAGGAGAGGAGAAUGAGAAAAAUUAAGAUAGCAGCUACUGUUUCUCUCAUCAAUGGAGACCACUUCUCCAUCUACUUCUGGUGAUGCCUAACCAGCAGUAGUGAUCAGACUUCGAUGAGCUCUCAGUGGAAUAAAGCCUCUAGGUCUUCUAGAUAGCUUCGAUGUGCUCUUUCUGCCUCAUAAUUACAUUUAUAAGAUAAGUCAUUUAAUUUCCAUGUGAAUGAAACUUCUGUAUCGGUCUUGCUGCUUAUCUUAUAUUUACUUAAGUCAGUCCUAAUAUCCAUUGCUGAUGAGGAUACUAUUUGCUUGUUGUCUCAAGAAGAUUACAGGAUAGAAAGCCACUUUAUGUAAGUUCUGGAAUCAAAUAUCUAAGUAGAAUGUGAAAUUACUAACAAAUUAUCUGACUUCAUAAAAUAGGGCCUUAAGACCUUGAAAAUGUUCUGAUCUUGCAUCAUUACUGUUAAACUGAUCAUAAUUUUUCUAUUGAUCAACUGGUUUCAUUUGUUUUUUAUUUCACUUGUUUCUUCCUAAGAGCAUGCUCUGUAUCUCCUUGAAAAAUGCAUACUCCAAUGCUUGGAGUAAUGCAUUGGAUAUUUUGAUUACAGCGUUUGGCUUAAAAACUGUUUUCAGUUAUUUUAUCCAAUUUUCCUUUUCAUGCUAUGGAAGAAAAGCACAAUUUUAUAUGUCCAGAUGAUGUCUGGUAACAUGCAUCACAAUAUACUUUGACCUCUUCAAUUGUAUAUCUUUCUGGCAAAGGAAGACCAAUGAAUUACUUAUGAUCUUUUCGACCUACUUUAAAGUGUUUGUACUUCAUACUGAAGGCAUAGAAGAGAGAACCAUUGUUAAGUGUGUACAAACCUUCUAUGAAUCUAUCUGUAUCAUUAAUCAUGUUUUCUGGUUGCUCUUUAACAUUAUCAAAAUUGUUAAAAUGAUUUCCUAAGUUCCUGACUGAAGCUGAUGUUCCAGUGCCUAAAUAAUAGUCUAACACCCUACUCCUAGUUCCACCCAUACUCUACAUGUAAGACUAAAGUAGGAUGCCAUAAAUAGACACCGGAUGGUGAUGAAACUAUGAGAGACUGAUACCCAUAACUGAGUAGCAUUAACUAUCACAAAUGCUACAAUUGUCUAAUAUGUUAAGAUGUAUAUGAAGCUUAAACUAUCAUGAUAGCACAAGUCUUUAGCACAUCUGGAAAAGAUAAACAGCCCAUAACAUGCAUAGAUUUUUUUUUUCUAUGCAGUAUUCUGAUCAAACAACUGUCAUUGUGCAUCAGUGUUUGGUUACAUUGAUUUUAAAUUUUACUUUUGAGAUUAACAAAAAAAGUUACCUUCUAAGCUUUUAUUUUGCAGUACUCUUCACCAGCUAAAGAAUCAUCAUCCUUUGCUUGCUUUCUGGAAUGAAUGGCCAAAACUAUUGUUAGCAGAACAGAAGCAAUUCUGAAGUCGCUGUAUAGUGGCCACAUAUCAAGGAAAGAUAACUUGCUCUGUAUUUAUCUGGAUUAAUAAUGAGACAUAACCUUGGAGAAUCUCAGAGAGUGAAAUAAAUUGUUCAGACCUCCACUUAUCUUAUUAUCUAUUUUGAAUUUUUUACUUCUAUCUCAUUCACUAUUUGUUGCACAUACAAAAAGCUGCAUGGUGUAACACAACAGAUACAAAGAGGAAGGAAUGGUGAACCAUACUCGUAUGCCUUAACACUGUGUUACAUGGUGUCAUUGUUAUUACAAGAUUGUUAUCAUCCUAUUGCAAGAUUGUAUUAAUAGACUACUAUAAAAAAAUUUCUGUUUCACGUAUGAAAAUAUCUGUCAUCUUAUUUCAAGAUCACCAUGAAUAGUGCCCGUAACUAGUUGUCAGGUGUACUAUGGCAUAUACAUUUUUAGAUCAAUAUUUGUAUUUUCCCGUUCUUUGCCUUUCUAUUUAAUACAAUUUAUACAAUGGAUUUGCAGUUUGAGCUUUUCCAUUUGGUUGGCGAUUUCUUGCAAUAACCAAAUUACAAUCUUCAGCUUGCAAAUUGAAAAAAGAUAAAUUUUUAAAUGAAUGACGCAUGAUUGAAAUAACUACAGAGGUAUAACUAUAUUGUCUGUCCAACAUUUCUCAAAACACAAUUGGCAUCACUUGUAGAAAUACCAUCAAUGAGGUAGAUCAGAAAAGAGAUGUCAGGAGUUUGUGCUUAGACUUCUUUUGGUGAUAAGGAAGUAUUUGAUUGUUUGAAUCUUCAUACAAUUUUGCCACAGGAAUUGUUAGAUCUACAGGACCAUUGAUUGUCAGAUCUAGAGAUCCAUUGAACCAUGUGUUGGUGGUGCCAUUGUAGUGUCAGUGUUGAUGAAUAAUGCAAGCACACCAAGGAUAGUCAAAAUGAUUAAGAUCACUUACAAAGGUGUUCCAAAUUCGAUAACUGCUAAGCAGAUCAUGAGAGAAUCUGGCAUGAGUGCUAAGAGGAGUCAACAUAAAGGACCACAAGAUACAGAUGGGACAAAUAGAAUAAUCCCAGAUUUUGAUAAAUAAUAUUCCUGUUCUGAAUAGUUAAUAUAGCCCAUGACAUACCUUUCAUAGAUUCAGGACUCUCUUAGAUUCCAUGCUAGAGUGGAUUUUCCUAUUUCCAACAGGAAGUAAACAAGACACCUAAUUAAUUUUGCCUCCAUAUGUGUUCGUUUGUCUUCUCUCUAAAUUCUUCAUUUUGAUGCUUGUUAUUGGACUUUCAUUCCCAUACUGUUGUUUUAGCUUGUGUAUUUUUCAACGACAAUUAAAUGGAAAAAGCAUUUGAAUUACUAAAAGAAAUUGCCUCUGACAUUGUUUAUGUUCGUUCAUUCCUUUUAUAUGUUGGUUUGACUUGUAGGAUGGGAAAUUAGCAUAGCACCCAGUUUGAGAAACUUGCUUUCUAU